CCUACGGGUGGCAGCAGUGAGGAAUAUUGGUCAAUGGACGAGAGUCUGAACCAGCCAAGUAGCGUGAAGGAUGACUGCCCUAUGGGUUGUAAACUUCUUUUAUAUGGGAAUAAAAUGUUCCACGUGUGGGAUUUUGUAUGUACCAUAUGAAUAAGGAUCGGCUAACUCCGUGCCAGCAGCCGCGGUAAUACGGAGGAGCCGAGCGUUAUCCGGAUUUAUUGGGUUUAAAGGGAGCGUAGGUGGAUUGUUAAGUCAGUUGUGAAAGUUUGCGGCUCAACCGUAAAAUUGCAGUUGAAACUGGCAGUCUUGAGGACAGUAGAGGUGGGCGGAAUUCGUGGUGUAGCGGUGAAAUGCUUAGAUAUCACGAAGAACUCCGAUUGCGAAGGCAGUUCACUGGACUGCAACUGACACUGAGGCUCGAAAGUGUGGGUAUCAAACAGGAUUAGAUACCCGUGUAGUC
rnacentral:rRNA from 1 species